rnacentral:rRNA from 1 species
UAGGAAUAUUGCAAAAUGGGCGAAAGCCCGAUGCAGCAACGCCGCGUGGGCGAUGAAGGCCUUCGGGUCGUAAAGCCCUUUUUGAGGGGAUGAGGAAGGACAGUACCCUCAGAAUAAGCCUCGGCUAACUACGUGCCAGCAGCCGCGGUAAAACGUAGGAGGCGAGCGUUAUCCGGAUUUACUGGGCGUAAAGCGCGUGCAGGCGGAUUGGAGAGUUGGAUGUGAAAGCUCCCGGCUUAACUGGGAGAGGUCGUUCAAUACUUCCAGUCUUGAGUGCAGUAGAGGGAAGUGGAAUUCCGGGUGUAGUGGUGAAAUGCGUAGAUAUACGGAGGAACACCAGUGGCGAAAGCGGCUUCCUGGACUGUAACUGACGCUCAGACGCGAAAGCUAGGGUAGCAAACG